rnacentral:rRNA from 1 species
GACGAACGCUGGCGGCGUGCUUAACACAUGCAAGUCGAACGGAAAGGCCCUGCUUUUGUGGGGUGCUCGAGUGGCGAACGGGUGAGUAACACGUGAGUAACCUGCCCUUGACUUUGGGAUAACUUCAGGAAACUGGGGCUAAUACCGGAUAGGAGCUCCUGCUGCAUGGUGGGGGUUGGACAGUUUCGGCGGUUGGGGAUGGACUCGCGGCUUAUCAGCUUGUUGGUGGGGUAGUGGCUUACCAAGGCUUUGACGGGUAGCCGGCCUGAGAGGGUGACCGGGCACAGUGGGACUGGGAUACGGCCCAGACGGCUACGGGAGGCAGGGGUGGAAAAUAGUGCACGAUAGGCGGAAGCCUGAUGCAGCAACGCCGCGUGCGGGAUGACGGCCUGCGGGUUGUAAACCGCUUUCGCCUGUGACGAAGCGUGAGUGACGGUAAUGGGUAAAGAAGCACCGGCUAACUACGU